UAUUUAUUUAAAUCCUUCUUUGUUAGGCUCCCCACUCUUGCCAUAUAAAUGUGAUAUCUUGGCAUGUGUUGUGGAUGCAGAUUCUUAUCUAACCCUCUCACUCAAACUCCUCUAUCUUCUAAAGUUUUAGUUACCUUAUUGUCUUUUCAUUUUUUUUCUUUUUUCCUUUUUCUUUUCUCCUUCUUCCUUGCUCUUAUCACAAGGUAAAAGGAGAUAUGGCAGAUUGCAAUAGAGAAGACUAUUUUGCUGCAGCCGAAGUUGAGGUAAC